rnacentral:misc_RNA from 1 species
UGAACAUUGCUUCUUUGUGAGGUGUUGCAUCUCCAUUUGUUUCAAUCACAUUAUGAGAGGGAAGUGGCCAAUAAUGUGAUGCUUAUUCACGAUAUCAAUGAGGGAUUUUUUUAAUGCUUCUGUUUGCUAUCCAUCCAAUCAUUUGGAUUUCAACACAUGCUUUGUUGAUACCAUGUUUUGUGGAUGUAAGGCAUCUAUUUGAAUCAAUUUAGAUGGAAAUAUGAGCUUGCUUCCUGAUACAAUUCCUUUCAUUUUUCUUUUUCUUCUCUAUAUGCUUGUGUCUCAUACAUGGUGUGGCGUUGUUGAUGCUAUAUCUCACAGGUGAUGGAAAUGUUUAGGAGAA